rnacentral:rRNA from 1 species
AUUGAACGCUGGCGGCAUGCCUUACACAUGCAAGUCGAACGGCAGCACGGGUGCUUGCACCUGGUGGCGAGUGGCGAACGGGUGAGUAAUACAUCGGGACAUGUCCUGUAGUGGGGGAUAGCCCGGCGAAAGCCGGAUUAAUACCGCAUACGAUCUACGGAUGAAAGCGGGGGACCUUCGGGCCUCGCGCUAUAGGGUUGGCCGAUGGCUGAUUAGCUAGUUGGUGGGGUAAAGGCCUACCAAGGCGACGAUCAGUAGCUGGUCUGAGAGGACGACCAGCCAAACUGGGACUGAGACACGGCCCAGACUCCUACGGGAGGCAGGAGUGGGGAAUUUUGGACAAUGGGCGAAAGCCUGAUCCAGCAAUGCCGCGUGUGUGAAGAAGGCCUUCGGGUUGUAAAGCACUUUUGUCCGGAAAGAAAUCCUUGGCCCUAAUACGGUCGGGGGAUGACGGUACCGGAAGAAUAAGCACCGGCUAACUACGU